rnacentral:rRNA from 1 species
GACGAACGCUGGCGGCGUGCCUAAUACAUGCAAGUAGAACGCACAGUUUAUACCGUAGCUUGCUACACCAUAGACUGUGAGUUGCGAACGGGUGAGUAACGCGUAGGUAACCUGCCUGGUAGCGGGGGAUAACUAUUGGAAACGAUAGCUAAUACCGCAUAAUAUUGAUUAUUGCAUGAUAAUUAAUUGAAAGGUGCAAUUGCACCACUACCAGAUGGACCUGCGUUGUAUUAGCUAGUAGGUGAGGUAACGGCUCACCUAGGCGACGAUACAUAGCCGACCUGAGAGGGUGAUCGGCCACACUGGGACUGAGACACGGCCCAGACUCCUACGGGAGGCAGCAGUAGGGAAUCUUCGGCAAUGGACGAAAGUCUGACCGAGAAACGCCGCGUGAGUGAAGAAGGUUUUCGGAUCGUAAAGCUCUGUUGUAAGAGAAGAAAGGGUGUGAGAGUGGAAAGUUCACACUGUGACGGUAACUUACCAGAAAGGGACGGCUAACUACGUG